GAGGCUUUUCUCCAGUGUGUACUCUCAAAUGGUUUUUCAAACUAAGUGUAUGAAUAAACUGCUGAAAACAUAUUUCACACUUGUGAGGUUUUUCUCCAGUGUGUACUCUCAAAUGCUGUUUCAAAUCAUACACUCGAGUAAAUUGCUUAAAACAGAUUUCACACUUGUGAGGUUUUUCUCCAGUGUGUACUCUCGAAUGUGUUUUUAAAUUACAUGCUUGACUAAACUGCUUAUAACAGAUUUCACACUUGUGAGGUUUUUCUCCAGUGUGUACUCUUAAAUGUUUUUUCAAAUUAUCUGUAUGACUAAA